rnacentral:rRNA from 1 species
CGAGAAAGUGGAGCAAUCCAUGAGUAAAGUGGCGACCGGGUGAGUAACACGUGACUACCUGCCCUUGAGUGGGGGAUAACCUCGGGAAACCGAGGCUAAUACCGCAUAAUAUCGAAAGAUCAAAGGAGCAAUCCGCUUUUGGAGGGGGUCGCGGCUGAUUAGCUAGUUGGUAGGGUAAUAGCCUACCAAGGCGAAGAUCGGUAUCCGGCCUGAGAGGGCGCACGGACACACUGGAACUGAAACACGGUCCAGACUCCUACGGGAGGCAGCAGUGGGGAAUUUUGCGCAAUGGGGGAAACCCUGACGCAGCAACGCCGCGUGGAGGAUGAAGCCCCUUGGGGCGUAAACUCCUUUCGACCGGGAAAAUAAUGAUGGUACCGGUGGAAGAAGCACCGGCUAACUCUGUGCCAGCAGCCGCGGUAAUACAGAGGGUGCGAGCGUUGUUCGGAAUUAUUGGGCGUAAAGGGCGCGUAGGCGGUGCGGUAAGUCACCUGUGAAAUCCCCGGGCUUAACUCGGGGCCUGCAGGCGA